rnacentral:misc_RNA from 1 species
UUGUGGAGGAGGACGCCGAAGGUGGGGCUAAUGACUGGGGUGAAGUCGUAACAAGGUAGCCGUACCGGAAGGUGCGGCUGGAUCACCUCCUAACAGGGAGACAACAAAAUGUUUAAUAUUAUUUUGUCACCUUAGGUCGAUCGGUAUCUCACAUCCUUAAUUUAUUAAGGUUUUCAUUCCUAAGUUUUUCUAGGUCACACCCAUUAUUUUUCCUGGGCCAUUAGCUCAGGUGGUUAGAGCGCACCCCUGAUAAGGGUGAGGUCCCUGGUUCAAGUCCAGGAUGGCCCAUAUCUCUAUGUUGGGGGUAUAGCUCAGUUGGUAGAGCGCCUGCUUUGCAAGCAGGAUGUCAGCGGUUCGAGUCCUCUUACCUCCACUGAUUACCACCUCUUCCAUAAUCUAUUAUGAAAGGAAAAUUAUGAGUUGUGAUCUAAUUCUGAACGAAUCUAGCUUCCUAAUGAAUUCAUUAAGAUGCUGGACUCAUUGAAUUAAUUUCAUUGUUUUCAGAGAACCUUGACAACUGCAUAGAUUAUUUUUUUAAAGACAAUAAGCAUCUUUAAUGAUGCAGAUUUAUUAUUUUUGCGAAUGCAUUAAUAACAAUUCUAUUAAGCUGAUGCUUCAAUUUUGAAGUUAUUGGUCAAGCUACAA